rnacentral:rRNA from 1 species
GUGCCAGCAGCCGCGGUAAUACGUAGGGUCCGAGCGUUAUCCGGAAUCAUUGGGCGUAAAGAGCUCGUAGGCGGUUCAGCAAGUCGGCUGUGAAAGUUCGAGGCUUAACCUCGAAAUUGCAGUCGAUACUGCUGUGACUCGAGUCCGGUAGAGGAGAAUGGAAUUCCCGGUGUAGCGGUGAAAUGCGCAGAUAUCGGGAGGAACACCAGUAGCGAAGGCGGUUCUCUGGGCCGGCACUGACGCUGAGGAGCGAAAGCGUGGGGAGCAAACAGGAUUAGAUACCCUGGUAGUCCACGCCGCAAACGAUGGACACUAGGUGUGGCGGUCUACCAACGACUGCCGUGCCGAAGCUAACGCAUUAAGUGUCCCGCCUGGGGAGUACGGCCGCAAGGCUAAAACUCAAAGGAAUUGACGGGUCCCCGCACAAGCGGCGGAGCAUGCGGCUUAAUUCGAUGCAACCCGAAGAACCUUACCUGGGUUUGACAUCACGGGAAAAGCUGUGGAAACACAGUGUCCAUUAGGGCCCGUGACAGGUGGUGCAUGGCUGUCGUCAGC